rnacentral:tRNA from 1 species
UCCCUGGUGGUCCAGUGGUUAGGACUCAGUGCUUUUAUUGCCAGGCCUGGGUUCAAUCCCUGGUCAAGGAA